ACGAACGCUGGCGGCGUGCUUAACACAUGCAAGUCGAACGGAAAGGCCCUGCUUUUGUGGGGUGCUCGAGUGGCGAACGGGUGAGUAACACGUGAGUAACCUGCCCUUGACUUUGGGAUAACUUCAGGAAACUGGGGCUAAUACCGGAUAGGAGCUCCUGCUGCAUGGUGGGGGUUGGAAAGUUUCGGCGGUUGGGGAUGGACUCGCGGCUUAUCAGCUUGUUGGUGGGUAGUGGCUUACCAAGGCUUUGACGGGUAGCCGGCCUGAGAGGGUGACCGGCCACAUUGGGACUGAGAUACGGCCCAGACUCCCACGGGAGGCAGCAGUGGGGAAUAUUGCACAAUGGGCGGAAGCCUGAUGCAGCAACGCCGCGUGCGGGAUGACGGCCUUCGGGUUGUAAACCGCUUUCGCCUGUGACGAAGCGUGAGUGACGGUAAUGGGUAAAGAAGCACCGGCUAACUACGU
rnacentral:rRNA from 1 species